AACGCUUCUCGGACUUUUGUCUAAGAUCAAGGGUAGUAUCUGUACUUAUCAGUUUAAUAUAGGAUACAUUCUCUGUCUAAGUCUCCAUUUUGAUUAUAAGAUGUAAUUACGUUCAAGUUCUCAGGUCCUAUGUAGCCAAGAGCACAGUUCAAUUCAAAAGUUCAAUACUUGCUGCUUAGAAUAAAACAAU